AAUCCAUCCAAACUGACGUUGAAUUCUUGUAAUUUCAUACUUUGUUGUUUACUGGUCUCGCCGAAUAAUAUCGUGACAAUGUUUGCUUAAAUUUGAAGUCCUCUGGUUUCGCCGAAGAACAUUACAACAAUGUUAUUUUGUCGGUAUUUGCCGGCUCUCGGUCACAUGCGUUUCCCCACUCAUACUCAGUUACGCAAAGAAAAAUAGUUCUUUGAAUAUAUACAACAUAAUCUAGAAAUAUGUCAACAUAAUUUCAUUCUCUGAAUACAUUUACAAACAAAAUUUGGGAUAAAUCAAAUCUUAAAAACAGGUUACAGGAAGUUGAACAAAAAUAUAAACAUGACCCCGAUGCACCGAGGCGAGAUCAACCUUCAAGCGCGAAAUUAUAUAUGACGUCACAUAAGUUUGCAAAGAGGUGCAUUUCGAGUCGAAUGGGAGCAUGAGGAUGAAAUUUAUACUUGCUGCUGUUUAAAAUGACGUUUAUGGAGCAGUUAUGGAAAACACGCGGACGCGUGAACCCUCCCGUGGCACGAGCAAAUUGGGAAUAUCACCGAUUUAUGCAUGUGUUGCUUGUGUUUGGAUAAUCGCAAACCAAUUCUGACGAUGCGGAAUGGACUGGUGGGGAUGGAACGGAGUGCUCUGAAACCUGUGUGUUUUGUGUUAAUUUUCAACGUCAGGGUGUGUUAUAUUUGGAGUUUGGGAUUUGUGGCGUGUGCUGUAAUACUUUGCUAAGCUGGUGUUUUUUGUCAUCCGAGAUGGACCUGCUGUAUAACCUGAUGCCAGCUUCAUUACUGUGCCCCGUCACUCCUCAUGUGCCGCCUCUUCUCGGGCUAGAAUGCACGGAGAAGGUCGGCCAACUCAGAAACUGGAAUAGCAGAUUUCUAAUUCCGUCUACGGAUAUUUUCUCGUCUCCGAUGACCAAUCGAUAAAACAGACGUCCUGGUCGAAUGACGUAACACAUGGAACAAACUGCCAGUAAUCACACACACUGCACUGGAGGAACGACAUUCCGAUAGCAUGCUGGUAUGCCACAAUAACGGUAGUUUGGUAAUCUACGGGGGACCCUACUGCCUCGUCCCUACGUUCAGUAUAGAUCAAGUCGUUGUAAUAUAGCCCUUGUGCGAAACGAGGACAUUGUCUGUGUGCAUUAUGGGUGAGAGAAUGAUAUACCAUGCAGUUUAAGUGAGUAUAUAAAAAAAUAUUGAACAGUUCA